CCAGGAUUGUAUUUUCUACCGAGAAGAGACAAUGGUCACCGUGCUCUCUGCAGGCUCUUCUGAAUGGGAGCUGUGAGGAGAGAUGCUGCCAGCCACGAUGGAAAGUUCUGGAAGGGUACCUUAGGUCCUGGUGAUCUUCAGGUGUCUCUGAAGCCCUGAAAGGCCUCUCAGCUUGGCAUGGCCCCCCUGCCCCGCCCCAGCUCGCUCUCUUGACGCCCAUGUGUGAGACUUGACAGUGUUCCUGCCUUGCUGGCCCACUGCCCCACUCCAAGG
rnacentral:lncRNA from 1 species